rnacentral:lncRNA from 1 species
AAAGUGCCUGUGAAGUGAAACUUUACCUUUCUAUAUCACCAGCUUCCUGUUAGAGCAGACUUUUUCUUUGCUCAAAGUCUAAGCAUUGAAGAACUUCUUUUUAGUAGGUAGAUUUUUGUGUUUUUUUGUUUGUUUUUGAGACGGAGUCUCACUCUGUCGCCCAGGCUGUGGUGCAGUGGCACGAUCUCGGCCCACUGCAAGCUCUGCCUCCCGGGUUCACACCAUUCUCCUGCCUCAGCCUCCCAAGUAGCUGGGACUACAGGUGCCAGCCACCACGCCUGGCUAAUUUUUUUGCAUUUUUUAGUAGAGAUGGGGUUUCAUCGUGUUAGCCAGGAUGGUCUUGAUCUCCUGACCUCAUGAUCCACCCGCCUUGGCCUGCCAGAGUGCUGGAAUUACAGGCGUGAUUUAGUAGGUAGUUUUGAGUAGGGAGUAUACAUUUAAAAUGCUGAAACUCAGUUAAGGAAUAAUCUAAUACUGUAUUCAACUGAAACUCAGUUGAGAAAUUUCUUUCCAAUAAUAAAGGAAAAUCAACUGCAGUAAUGAGGGAGAUGAUUUUGCUGCUAAUUACAACAAAUAUUUACUACAGACCUGUUAUGCACCAGGAACUGUGCUAAAUGUUUUAUACAUAUAACUUUAUCUUGUGCUCCAACAACUUAUUACAUAGAAAUUGCUAUUAUUCCCAUUUUCUAGAUUAAUAAAUUGGUUUAGAGGGGUCGUAUAGGUGAAACAACUCACUCAAUAUCACAAGCUGUUAUGUGGUGAAGUUUGCAUGAUCAGUACAGGGUUCUGGUCAUCCCACUCAUUGAGUGGUGCUAGUCAAGAUCUGGAAGCUCUUCUGGUCUUAGUUUCUCUAGCCGUGAAGUGACAAUGAUUAGGUCUAAUCAUAGAACAUGAGAGUACAUGUGAAAAAAUGCCUUUUUAAAGAGUAUGAAAAACUUGAGUUGUAAAAUUUUCUUGUGGAUAAUUUAUUAUUGCUUUUCUUUUUUAGAUAACACUAACAAAGUUGACCUUAGAAUUGGAGUGCCUGGGUUAGAACCCUGCUGGUACCACCUGCUUACUGCAUGCUUCUGAUGUGAGUUCAGGAGAAGACACUGGCAAGGACAGCAAAGAACAGGAGAACACUCUAGCUUCCCUGAUAGCAUUCAAGGUGCUGUCCAAACUGACUGUGAUGGCACCCUCCAGACAGACAGCGAUGCCACAUGUUCAAGAUGGCAGAAUCACUAUCAGCUUCAAUUCCUGAAUGACUGCAGAGCAAAAUUUCUUACCUGCAACAUACACUCUAUUUUCAGCCUCCCUGGACUGUUACAUAAUGAUACAUAAAAAUAUUUCUUGUGUUGAGGCAUCCCAAAUUUGAUUUAUUUGUCAUCACAGUCUAUCCUAUGAAUAUAUUUCUGAUCCAAAUAAUGCUAGAUUCAUGAGAGUUUAUAGUCCAGAGAUUUUUUUUUUUUUUUUGAGACAGAAUCUGUCUCCCAGGCUGGGGUGCAGUGGCAUAAUCUUAGCUCACUGCAACCUCUGCCUCCCGGGCUCAAGUGAUCCUCCCUCCUUAGCCUCCAUGAGUAGCUGGGACCACAGGUGUGCACCACCACACCCCGCUAAUUAUUUUGUAUUUUUUGCAGAGGGGGGUUUCACCACAUUGCCCAAGCUGGUCUCAAACUCCUAGACUUAAGGGAUCUGCCUGCCUUGGCCUCCCAAAAUGCUGAAAUUACACUUGUUAGCCAUAGUAAUAGUUCCUAGCCAUAGUCCGGAGAUAUUUUAAAAACUUUAGUGUGAGUUAUUUCUCUUUGCUAUAAUUCUCUCAUGCAUUUUGAAAACCUUUUCUGCCAUACAGUGGUUUUUGGGAAGUCCUUUUGGACAGACAUAUCACAGGAUGGAGAAACUAAAAAGAGAGAAUGCAUUAAAGAAAAAAUAGUACUUCGUAUUUCAGAAAUUACAAAAGGGUGUCAUGCCCCACAGCAUGGUGGGCAGUCAUUUGUAACCCACAGAACAUUGAGUUUCUAAAAUUUGAGUGUUUUUAACUUACGAAGGCCAACUUUACUGAUGAAGUGAUUACCCCAAAUAUGUGAAAUCCAUAUUUCAAGUACAAUAGUAGGAAAUUGGAAAUGGGCUCUUGAGUUUCUGCUUUCAAGUGACCCUCAGAAAUUCCUCCAUUCACUGCAGAGGUUCUGUUUCUCCUUGCUUUGUUCUGACUUUACGGCAGAACUAAGCUAAUGAGUUAGUUACUAUGGGUUAUCACUUGGAUUUGAAGAACCAUCAUUUCUAGGCAUUGCUGCUCAGAGUGGGUCUGCCCUCAGGGGAAGCUGUCUAACCAGAGCCUAACCCACUAGGGUUUUAUCAGAACCUAACUGACCUGAGGAAAAGAAAUACUCAACUCCAGCAAGCUCCAGCCUUCCAAAUGGAGGAGGAGAAAACCCAACUCCAGCCCACUUCAGCUAUCUUGUCCCACAUAAAGGGGAAGUGGAAGAAACCUGAGAAGCAGGCAUGAAGUUCACAGUCCAGAGUGUAUUCCACACCAUUUCAUAUUCCAUCGCAUUCCAUUCUACACAAUUCCACAUCUCCCCGGCCACAUCAGCCUGAGAGUAAUAAACAGACCUUGCCAUCGUAUCCCCUUUUGGAGACACAAGCCAGGAAGGAAGCUCUUCAGUGCAGCUGUGAAUAGAGAAAUGCUGGCUGAGGUUUUGGAGACACUGGGUGAUCAUUCCCAGUGAAAUUUUUAGAUCCCUGGGGACAUGAGCUGCUUUGUCUUUUCCAAGGACAGCAGACAGAGCAUGAAUGAGACCCCCAAAGAAGGGAAGCAAAUGAGACAAGCCCCACAAUUAUUCUGGCUUUUUGCCUAGAGACAAUCUAUGAACUGUGGGGCAAACAACAGAGAUCAAAACAGCUUGGCAAUCUGAGUUGAGGAUGAAGACACCAUUGGGGCAGAAGCAGCGAUAGCUCAAAUUUGUGGAGCAAAGUACCGGAGAAGAUAAACUGCUCCAAAUUCCAAGAGGCUGGGCAAAGAAAAACUUUGUGGAAAGAAGAAUUAUCAGGGAACUCUAAGCUGAAAAAUUGCCAGGGCUCACACAGACCUGGGGAAUUGGUUGAGUUUAUGCCACCUACAGGAUAGAGAACUUGCUGAAUGUUCAAGGAUUUUGUUACAGAUGCAAGAUGACACUUAAAGGGAUGCAAAACUAACAUCUCUGGAUUAGUCUUAAUAAAGUUUAAAAAUAAGCUUAGAAAAAGUCAAA